GACGGGGGGGGGCAAGUGUUCUUCGGAAUGACUGGGCGUAAAGGGCACGUAGGCGGUGAAUCGGGUUGAAAGUGAAAGUCGCCAAAAACUGGUGGAAUGCUCUCGAAACCAAUUCACUUUGAGUGAGACAGAGGAGAGUGGAAUUUCGUGUGUAGGGGUGAAAUCCGCAGAUCUACGAAGGAACGCCAAAAGCGAAGGCAGCUCGUCUGGGAUCCCUACCGACGCUGGGAGU
rnacentral:rRNA from 1 species